AUUGAACGCUGGCGGCAGGCUUAACACAUGCAAGUCGAACGAGUGGCGGACGGGUGAGUAAUGCUUGGGAAUCUGGCUUAUGGAGGGGGAUAACUACGGGAAACUGUAGCUAAUACCGCGUACCAUAGGAUGAGCCCAAGUGGGAUUAGGUAGUUGGUGAGGUAAAGGCUCACCAAGCCGACGAUCUAUAGCUGGUCUGAGAGGAUGACCAGCCAACAUGGAACUGAGACACGGCACAGACUCCUACGGGAGGCAGCAGUGGGGAAUAUUGCACAAGGGGCGCAAGCCUGAUGCAGCCAUGCCGCGUGUGUGAAGAAGGCCUUCGGGUUGUAAAGUACUUUCAGCGAGGAGGCGUUACUCGCAGAAGAAGCACCGGCUAACUCCGUGCCAGCAGCCGCGGUAAUUC
rnacentral:rRNA from 1 species